CAGUAGCCGCGGGAAUACGUAGGUGGCAAGCGUUGUCCGGAAUUAUUGGCGUAAAGGGCUCGCAGGCGGUUUCUUAAGUCUGAUGUGAAAGCCCCCGGCUCAACCGGGGAGGGUCAUUGGAAACUGGGAAACUUGAGUGCAGAAGAGGAGAGUGGAAUUCCACGUGUAGCGGUGAAAUGCGUAGAGAUGUGGAGGAACACCAGUGGCGAAGGCGACUCUCUGGUCUGUAACUGACGCUGAGGAGCGAAAGCGUGGGGAGCGAACAGGAUUAGAGACCCCCGUAGUCCCUGUCUCUUAUACA
rnacentral:rRNA from 1 species